rnacentral:rRNA from 1 species
GACGAACGCUGGCGGCGUGCCUAAUACAUGCAAGUAGAACGCUGAAGGAGGAGCUUGCUCUUCUGGAUGAGUUGCGAACGGGUGAGUAACGCGUAGGUAACCUGCCUGUUAGCGGGGGAUAACUUUUGGAAACGGUAGCUAAUACCGCAUAACAGUAGAUGUUGCAUGGUGUGUGCUUAAAAGUUGCAGUGGCACGACUACCAGACGGGCCUUCUGUGCGUUAGGUAGGUGUUGGGGGAAAGGCUCACCAUGGCGGCGAGACAUAGCCGACCGGAGAGGGGGAGCGGCCAGACUGGGACUGUGACCCGCCACAGAGUGAUACAGGAGGCAGCAGGAGGGAAUCUUGGGCAAUGGGCGGAAGAUUGACCACGCAACGCCGCGGGAGUGAACAAGGUUGUCGGGUCGUAAAGCUCUGUUGUAAGGGAAGAAAGAGUGUGAGAGUGGAAAGUUCACACUGUGACGGUAACUUACCAAAAAGCAACGGCUAACUACGUG